CCCAGAACGGCGUCUCUUCUCUGGACUCGCUCUGCUCUUCAGAUGUACCAUCGUUGCCGCCAUUGCCAAGCACCACAGAUUCAGUGACAUUGAAACCAUCCAAUUCUCAUAAUGAUUCAUCGGAUUUGGCGGACUUGCCUCCGGAACCCGCUGUAAGGUUGCCAACAC